rnacentral:rRNA from 1 species
ACGAACGCUGGCGGCGUGCUUAACACAUGCAAGUCGAACGGAAAGGCCCUGCUUUUGUGGGGUGCUCGAGUGGCGAACGGGUGAGUAACACGUGAGUAACCUGCCCUUGACUUUGGGAUAACUUCAGGAAACUGGGGCUAAUACCGGAUAGGAGCUCCUGCUGCAUGGUGGGGGUUGGAAAGUUUCGGCGGUUGGGGAUGGACUCGCGGCUUAUCAGCUUGUUGGUGGGGUAGUGGCUUACCAAGGCUUUGACGGGUAGCCGGCCUGGGAGGGGGACCGGCCACCUUGGGCCUGAGAUACGGCCCAGACUCCUACGGGAGGCAGCAGUGGGGAAUAUUGCACAAUGGGCGGACGCCUGAUGCAGCAACGCCGCGUGCGGGAUGACGGCCUUCGGGUUGUAAACCGCUUUCGCCUGUGACGAAGCGUGAGUGACGGUAAUGGGUAAAGAAGCACCGGCUAACUACGUG